CAAUGUUAUUUUAUUCCUAUUCCUAGAAAUCCUGUGCUGUUUAGCUGUGGAACAGUGCUGUAGCUUGCAAUAUGAAGCUGUACAUCAAGGCAUAUAUGGACCCUACCUCAAUGAAGAAGUGUGCAUGGUGCAGUUUUGCUGCCUGUUUUCACAGAAGGAUCUGGACAAGACAGGGAGUUGGGAGAGUGAGGACAACCACACAUAUGAUGCAAAAGCCACCCUGUUGUGUCAAGGCAGGGUCACACAGAUGAAGCAAAUGAGCUGCUGACCACAAUGUAGCUUGAUGUGCUCCAUAUCUGACCGACCGUGCCCUCAUGUGGCCAAGAUGCAGUAGGUGCUUCCUUUUCUUAACCUCUUGAGAAAGACCCUAUCCUACUAUUAAUGGGAGAGCAAGCAUAUCCGUGUGAUCUCUCUUUCUCCUCAUUUGUUAGCACAGGACAGGAUUUCUCACAAAGUGUGGCACCAUGAUGUCACUAACUUUAUAAUACAAAAGAGGUAGGACUUUAUUCACACCUAUCAGUAUGAUAGUGUGUCAUUCCUACUCUCCCACAGGAGCAUGUAGCUGCUGCCAUUCUCCAUCAGGGGAGAGCAGCUUUAAAUUCUGCCCAUCAGAGUCAGAAACAAUGCAUUUUUUGCAGGCCCUGAGCCCAAUCCCUUCCUAGCUGGUCCCACCCACUUUGUAGCCCAGGGACCAGGACUGGGAUUUUUUGGAUUUGUGAUCCUCAGGCUUUCUUUUUUAUUCAAAUGUUGUGUACUUUAAACUUUAGAUUUUAAAACUCCUUCAGGACAAGAAUUGUCUUUCCGAAGACUAGCAUAUUUGAAAUGACUACAAGGAUUUGUGAGGACAAUUCAGCUGCUUUGUGAUAGAAUUUUAGAAGCCACCAAAGAAACACUGCACUGUCCCCUUCUUUAUUCACACUGGAAAAUGACUGCUGCUAUGGCCGUAUCCAUCGGCUGUGAUGGUCCCUGGCACUAGCAAAUUAUUCUGCUCAAUGGACUAGUUUUCGUUUUGAAAAGAAUUUGGUUGUAAUUCUUUUAAACUGUCGCUUCCAUGCACAGUUUUUGCCAGCAGGGGACAUUAUACAAGAAAAAUUCUGCUCCUAUUGCCAAGGAGUUAACUUGAUAACAUUGUAAUAAGUAAAAGGGUGUUUGUUUCUCUGUUAUUGAGCUGUCCUUGACUUGCACAAAAUCAUGCUGAGUUUAAAAAAAAAAGUCUUGUCAAAUUUGCUGUAUUCACUUUCAACAUUUUUUAUUUCUACCCAGGCACAACAUUUUUCCACACAGGCAUAUCAAUUCUAAUGGCAGUGCUGUGGCUAGGAACAUUGCUGCAAUGCCCUCCAGAUUCCUGAGGAUUUGCAAAACAACCAGCAGUCUCCACCCUAACUCCGAUUGUCUUGAGGUAAGUGGUGUGUUUGUCAAGGUAGGAGAGGGAAUGCAAGCCAGUAGAAGCUUCCCUGCCAGGACCUGCUCUGUCCACAGGAAGAAGUGAGCUGCCUGUUGCCUCUCUCCCCAUUAUCUCUUCUAACAUCUUGAAACUGCUGUUUUCAGAAGGAGGUGAAGGAGGCCACUGGCAGCCUUCCCAUCUCUGGAAGAAUGAGCAAGGCUCUCCCGACAACACUGUAGUCUAGAGAUGGGGAGAAAGUUCUUGUUUGCCUUUUAGCUGCCAAGGAGCUCUGCUGCACACACAGCUAUGCAGCAAGUAUCUUUUGUUUGAAUAUACUUCAGAUUAAGUAAUUACAGCAAUGCACAAUGUACCCUAGAAAAUUAGAAAGGUUGAAAAUGUGUUUUUUGUUAAUAUGCACACACAUCAAAAUCAACAGGAAAAUGAAUAACCUAUUUGGUGGUACAAUGUACCAACAAAAUAGUGUAAUAAAAAUGAAAU
rnacentral:lncRNA from 1 species